AAAAUUAAUAAUGCAUUUCUAACCCAGCUUAAAUUUCUAACCAAGGUAAAUAAAUCAAUAAUACAUUUUUAACCCAGUUAAAAUUGGAUAAUGCAUAACUACAUUUACCUACUUUUUUCUUGCUAAUAAAAAAUUUUAGUCUAUGUCAAACCAUACUGUGGUAUCCGGCAGGAUGAGCCCAUCUCUCUCUACAUCUUCAUCUUGCGUAAUAAAAUCUUCUAUGUACUGUGUAAAGAAUGUCAGAUCAAUGGCUCUAUGACAUAAUUAGAGUUGCUAGAAAAUUCCCAUGCAUUAACUAUUUCUUGUUCACUGAUGAUAGCAUGUUUUUCAAAAAUCCAGUCUUUAAAGCUAUAUGAUCUUAAAACAUACUAUUAAAGUAUGAGAAAACAUCUUGUCAGAUGAUAAAUACUUGUAAGUCAUCAAAUUUUUUCUCAGGUGCCAAAACUCCACAAGAGGAUAGAAUCUGUGUCAAAUAAACUCUAGGCAUUGAAAAAAAAAGGGGGAAAUUUGCCUUUUUAGAGCAAAAAAUAGGGACAUUGUCCCAUUAGACUAAUACCAAAAUAUAAUUGUCUCAUUAGGCUAAUAUUUUCGUAAUUGCCUAUUAUAACCUUAAAUUAACUUAAUUAAAGGUAACAAAUUAAUUUAGUUUAUUAUUUAUUAUACGUUACAAAAAAAAUAGAAAAGGGGAAAAUUCCCAAAUCAUCAAAACCAAAGUACUCUUCUUCUCGAUGGCGUCGUCUCCUCCGUAUCACCUUCGCGUCUCCUCUGUCUCGUCGAGCUCGGAGCCAUCCAACAUCGCCUCCUCCAUCGGUCGGAAUCUACAUCCACGUCGUUCUUCUCCAGUUUAUAUCCUUGAUAAGUUUCUUAACAUUCAAAAGCUUUGUUUCCUUGAAAUCGAAAUCACUGAACUUUGUUUCUCCGCCCUAAUCUAUUAUUAAUCUCUUCUUCUCCCAUCAAAAUCGCAGGUCAUAUCGUCACUAGUCAACCGGACACCGACUCAAAUCUCUUCGGGUCCGACAUAAGUCUCUUCUUCUCCGGUAUAAUCUCGUCGGCUCCGGCGUACUCUCUUUGUCUCCGGCGUAUUCUAUUCUUCAGUUCUUCUCCCAUCCAAAUCGAAGUUAACAUACACACUUCUCAGUCCUAAUUUGUUUUCAUGGAGGAAGAUCUGAACAUGGAGAAUGUCUACUAUUCAGAGAUGAAGGAUGCUGGAUUCUUUGACCCCGAUUGGGAAUAAUAAGAACCUGUAUAUACAAUGUGAAAAGGAUUGUUUACAAAUUGUCAUCUUAGGGCCUACUCUUUGACUUAUGUAUGUGUUAAUACAAGACUCCCUAUACAUGAGUGAUAUAAGGAACUUCUAUCGCU